rnacentral:lncRNA from 1 species
ACUAGAAGCUCUUGGGAGCAUGUGGACAGUUGUGGCUGCUCCUGAGCUGACACUAACUGCUCAUGACUCCUCUGUGGGAGAAGUAGGUGGUUUCCUAGAGGAAGAAGUUUGGGUAAUGAAGCCACAGAGAUUUGCUGAUACAUUUGCUAGGCACGACUUCUGGUCAUUUAGAAAGCUAUUUUGUGGCUUCAUCAAUAAGGUAUUCCCCAGCUGUGUUACUCCUUCGCAUUGUUAUCUCUUUCCCUGGAAUUGAAGGCUUCCUGGUCUGAGGCAAGGACAAUUAUUCCCUCACUGUCAACCCUGAUCUCUGGCUGCAGUAAUGAGUAGAGGAAAUGAAGAAAUAAGAAUGGAAGCAUAAUCAUUUGUCCGAGGUCACAGAGGGAGAUGAUUACACAGCUGGAAUAAACUCUCCUCCUUCAAUACCUGACUACUUGCACCAUCCAGCAGAUAUCCUCUACUACCAAGUCUCAACAGAUGGUUCAGCUGGUCUUUAAUGAACAAAAGGCAUUUGUGUAAUGGACUCUUAUUGCUCAAGAAGAAUUUCUUCCUUCCUGAAACAUGAGGAGAAACUGACAAAAACUGUCUCCUUGACCAAACCCUAGUCAGUUGCCUAUAAGCCCUGUAGGCUGUGACCUUAGUGUCUAUCCUUAUCAGACACGCAUUACACAACCAUAGCAACAGUCUUGCUAAGUUGGUUUAACCAGAACCCCUACCCUUGAUAUCUGAUUUAAUUUAUAAUUCCCCUGAGUCCCCGAGGUGACAUCCAUUCAUCCUGGCCAGCUUUCAAUAAGAAUCCUAUUGGAUUAUUUAGCUAGAAAUCACCCCUUACACUUAAUGCUUCCUUUUAGUAAUUUUGCAUCCACUAACCCCGACCUUGCUCGUUGGCUAUAAAUCCACAAGUUGUCCGUGUUGUGUUUGGAAUUGAUUACAAUUCUAUAUUGAGGUCUCUUUUCCCAUAUUGCAAUAGUUCCUGAUUAAAAUCUGCUUUUGCCCAUUGAUAUGGUUUGGUUGUGUACCCACUCAAAUCUCAUCUUGAAUUGUAGCUCCCAUGAUUCCCAUAAUUGAAUCAUGGCAGCAGUUUACCCCAUACUGUUCUUGUGGUAGUGAAUAAGUCUCAUGAGAUCUGAUGGUUUUAUAAGGGGUUUCCACUUUCACUUGAUUCUGACUCUCUUUUGUUUGCCGCUAUGUAAGACAUGCCUUUCACCUUCUGCCAUAAUUGUGAAGCCUCCCCAGCCACAUGGAACUGUGAGUCCGUUAAACCUCAUUUUCUUUAUAUAUAAAUUACCCAGUCUCAGGUAUGUCUUUAUCAGCAGCAUGAAAAUGGACUAAUACACUCCUUUAACUGUGUAGCUCUGGUGUUCUUUGAUGAGCUAGAAACUGUAAAUCUCUGGAAGUCAAAUCUUCAUUUGAACUGGUUGUUAUAUAUUAUUGAUUCUCUCAAUUAUUUAGUUAAAUAAAAGUCUUGACAUGUUAAA